GAUGAACGCUAGCGGCAGGCUUAAUACAUGCAAGUCGAGGGGCAGCAUGAAUGUAGCAAUACAUUUGAUGGCGACCGGCAAACGGGUGCGGAACACGUACACAACCUUCCUAUAAGUGGGGAAUAGCCCAGAGAAAUUUGGAUUAAUACCCCGUAACAUAAUGAUGUGGCAUCACAUUAUUAUUAUAGCUACGGCGCUUAUUGAUGGGUGUGCGGCUGAUUAGAUAGUUGGCGGGGUAACGGCCCACCAAGGCUACGAUCAGUAGCUGAUGUGAGAGCAUGAUCAGCCAAACGGGCACUGAGACACGGGCCCGACUCCUACGGGAGGCAGCAGUAAGGAAUAUUGGUCAAUGGACGCAAGUCUGAACCAGCCAUGCCGCGUGAAGGAUUAAGGUCCUCUGGAUUGUAAACCUCUUUUAUCUGGGACGAAAAAAGGCGAUUCUUCGUCACUUGACGGUACCAGAUGAAUAAGCACCGGCUAACUCCGUGCCAGCCGCCGCCGUAAGAC
rnacentral:rRNA from 1 species